CCCUUAGAUGUUCUGGGCCGCACGCGCGCUACACUGACGAAGUCAGCGAGCAUGUCCUACGCCGACAGGUGCGGGGAAUCUUGUCAAACUUCGUCGUGAUGGGGAUUGAUUAUUGAAAUUCUUGAUCAUUAACGAGGAAUUCCUAGUAAGCGCAAGUCAGCAGCUUGCGUUGAUUACGUCCCUGCCCUUUGUACACACCGCCCGUCGCUACUACCGAUUGAAUGGUUUAGUGAGAUCUUCGGAUUGGCGCCACUGCGGCUCAGCAAUGGGCUCGGUGGAUGCCGAAAAGUUGAUCAAACUUGAUCAUUUAGAGGAAGUAAAAGUCGUAACA
rnacentral:rRNA from 1 species